ACGGAAGGCAGCAGUGGGGAAUAUUGCACAAUGGGGGAAACCCUGAUGCAGCGACGCCGCGUGAAGGAUGAAGUAUUUCGGUAUGUAAACUUCUAUCAGCAAGGAAGAAAUUGACGGUACUUGACUAAGAAGCCCCGGCUAAAUACGUGCCAGCAGCCGCGGUAAUACGUAUGGGGCAAGCGUUAUCCGGAUUUACUGGGUGUAAAGGGUGCGUAGGUGGUAAGGCAAGUCAGAAGUGAAAGCUCGGGGCUCAACCUCGGAACUGCUUUUGAAACUGUCUAACUAGAGUGCAGGAGAGGUAAGUGGAAUUCCUAGUGUAGCGGUGAAAUGCGUAGAUAUUAGGAGGAACACCAGCGGCGAAGGCGGCUUACUGGACUGUAACUGACACUGAGGCACGAAAGCGUGGGGAGCAAACAGGAUUAGAUACCCUGGUA
rnacentral:rRNA from 1 species